GACGAACGCUGGCGGCGUGCUUAACACAUGCAAGUCGAACGGAAAGGCCCUGCUUUUGUGGGGUGCUCGAGUGGCGAACGGGUGAGUAACACGUGAGUAACCUGCCCUUGACUUUGGGAUAACUUCAGGAAACUGGGGCUAAUACCGGAUAGGAGCUCCUGCUGCAUGGUGGGGGUUGGAAAGUUUCGGCGGUUGGGGAUGGACUCGCGGCUUAUCAGCUUGUUGGUGGGGUAGUGGCUUACCAAGGCUUUGACGGGUAGCCGGCCUGAGAGGGUGACCGGCCACAUGGGAACUGAGAUCCGGCCCAGACUCUUACGGGAGGCAGAAGUGGGGAAUAUUGAACAAUGGGCGGAAGCCGGAGGAAGAAACGCCGCGUGCGGGAUGACGGCCUUCGGGUUGUAAACCGCUUUCGCCUGUGACGAAGCGUGAGUGACGGUAAUGGGUAAAGAAGCACCGGCUAACUACGU
rnacentral:rRNA from 1 species